rnacentral:rRNA from 1 species
CAGCACGGGCACUUGCUCCUGGUGGCGAGUGGCGAACGGGUGAGUAAUGCGUCGGAACGUACCGAGUAAUGGGGGAUAACGCAGCGAAAGCUGUGCUAAUACCGCAUACGCCCUGAGGGGGAAAGUGGGGGAUCGCAAGACCUCACGUUAUUCGAGCGGCCGACGUCUGAUUAGCUAGUUGGUGGGGUAAUGGCCUACCAAGGCGACGAUCAGUAGCGGGUCUGAGAGGAUGAUCCGCCACACUGGAACUGAGACACGGUCCAGACUCCUACGGGAGGCAGCAGUGGGGAAUUUUGGACAAUGGGGGCAACCCUGAUCCAGCCAUUCCGCGUGAGUGAAGAAGGCCUUCGGGUUGUAAAGCUCUUUCAGCUGGAACGAAACGGUACGCUCUAACAUAGCGUGCUAAUGACGGUACCAGCAGAAGAAGCACCGGCUAACUACGUGCCACAGCCGCGGUAUUCCUAGGGUGCCAGCGUUAAUCGGAUUACUGG